rnacentral:rRNA from 1 species
UGUUGGCGGGGUAGGGGCCCACCAAGGCGACGAUCAGUAGCCGGCCUGAGAGGGUGGACGGCCACAUUGGGACUGAGACACGGCCCAAACUCCUACGGAAGGCAGCAG